GACGAACGCUGGCGGCGUGCUUAACACAUGCAAGUCGAACGGAAAGGCCCUGCUUUUGUGGGGUGCUCGAGUGGCGAACGGGUGAGUAACACGUGAGUAACCUGCCCUUGACUUUGGGAUAACUUCAGGAAACUGGGGCUAAUACCGGAUAGGAGCUCCUGCUGCAUGGUGGGGGUUGGAAAGUUUCGGCGGUUGGGGAUGGACUCGCGGCUUAUCCGCUUGUUGGUGGGGUUGUGGAUUACCAAGGCUUUGACGGGUAGCCGGCCUGAGAGGGGGAACGGGCACAAUGGGACUGAGAUACGGCCCAGACGCCUACGGGAGGCAGCAGUGGGGAAUAUGGCACAAUGGGCGGAAGCCAGAUGCAGCAACGCCGCGUGCGGGAUGACGGCCUUCGGGGGAUAAACCGCUGUCGCCGGUGACGAAGCGGGAGUGACGGUAAUGGGUAAAGAAGCACCGGCUAACUACGUG
rnacentral:rRNA from 1 species